GAUGAAGAACGCAGCGAAACGCGAUAAGUAAUGUGAAUUGCAGAAUCCAGUGAAUCAUCGAAUCUUUGAACGCACAUUGCGCCCGCCAGUAUUCUGGCGGGCAUGCCUGUUCGAGCGUCAUUUCAACCAUCAAGCCCCCGGCUUGUGUUGGGGACCUGCGGCUGCCGCAGGCCCUGAAAAGCAGUGGCGGGCUCGCUGUCACACCGAGCGUAGUAGCAUACAUCUCGCUCUGGGCGUGCUGCGGGUUCCGGCCGUUAAACCACCUUCAUAACCCAAGGUUGACCUCGGAUCAGGUAGGAAGACCCGCUGAACUUAAGCAUAUCAAUAAGCGGAGGA
rnacentral:misc_RNA from 1 species